CGUGUUCCCUGGGAUAGCUGUGUUUCCCCCCCCUCGGCUGCGGUUACAGCAUUUUUGCUCCGCGUCGCUGGCACCGCCCCUUUUGGAGACGAGAGCGGCUCAUUUGCAUGUUAAAAGCCCCAGAGCAGCGUCAGCACGUGUCAGGUGUAAUCGCCACUAAUGCAACGUCGGCCUCGCUGGAGCCAGACUAGCAAGUAACUCCAGAAGCUUGAUUUUCAGCACUGGCCCCGGGGAAUAUCUCCUCUGGUUGGCUGCCUUCCCUACGUACCUGUCUCCUGGGGAGGAGCAGCCAAUCGUAAUAGUACCUAUUGCAUAUUCAUCAGAAAGCGCUCAAAGCUCUUUACACAGGAGGGUAACAAGCCUUGUGGAUGGGGAGAAGCAGUAGAUGUGAUAUAUCUUGACUUCAGUAAGGCUUUUGAUGCUGUCUCACGUGAUCUUCUCAUAAAUAAACUAGAGAAAUAGAGCCUAGACAAAACUACUAUAAGGUGAGUGCACAACUGGUUGGAAAAGAAUACUCAGAGAGCAGGGAUCUAUGCUGUAUCUGAUUCUAUAUAAUAUCUUAAUUGAUAAUGGCAUAGAAAGUACACUUAAGUUUUGAACAAUAUCAAGUUUGUGAACAAUACUGCAAGCCCUAUGGAUUGGAGAAAACACCAUGCAGGAUUAGAAUGCACAAUGAUCUUCACAAACUGGAGAAAUGGUCUGAAAUAAAUAGGAUGAAAUUCAAUAACAACAUUGCAAAGUACUACACUUAGGAAGGAGAAAUCAAUUGCACAAAUUCAAAAUGGGAAAUGACUGCCAAGGAAGGAGUACUUCAGAUAAGGAUCUGGGGGCUAUAAUGUAUCACAAAGUAAAUAUGAGUCAACAAUAUAAUAUUGUUGCCAAAAGUGACAAUCAUUCUGGGAUGUAUUAGCAAGAGUAUUGUAAGCAAGACAUGACAAGUAAUUCUUUCACUCUCCUCUGCACUGAUAAGGCCUUAGCUAGAGUAUUGUGUUCAGUUCUGGGAACUGGCCAAUGGGAGCUGUGGGGGCAGUGCUUGUGGGCAGCACACGGAGACCCGCUGCCCUCCUCCCUCCAAGGGGCGUGCAGAGACGUGUCAGCAGCGGGCAGCAUCCAGGAGCGGCAUGGGGCCACGGCAUGCAGGAGCCAGGUCAGAACCCCCUCCUGCACCCAAACUCCCUUAUAGACCCUGCACCCUCUCCUUGCACCCCAACACUCUGCACCAGCCUGGAGCUCCCUCCUGCACCCAAACUCCUGCCCACAUCCCUCAGCCCCUCCUGCACCCUAACACUUUGUGUGUGAUGCGGCUCUUGAAAUAUUUUGGUCAAAGACAAAAACAAAAAAAUGGCUCUUCUUCUUUGAAAGGUUGCCGACCCCUGGGUUCGACAUUAGGAAAAACUUUGUGACUAUAAGGGUAGUUUAGAACUGGAACAAAUUACCUAGGGAGGCUGUGGAAUCUCUGUCAUUGGAGGUUUUUAAGGACAAGUUAGACAAAUACCUGUCUGGGAUGUUCUAGAUAACACUUAGUCCUGCUUCACUGCAGGGGACUGGACUAGAUGACUUAUUGAUGUCCCUUCCAGUUCUAAAUUUCUACGAUUCUAUGAAAUGUCAGAUCUCCUUACAAACAUAUGUCCAUAUCAGCUUACCUAUGUAGGGAAAUGAGACUCAGUGCUAGUAUAGUCCAUAGAUAUUUUACUUGUCUCAUGUUAUUGGAGCUGUUUUAGAGCAAAAGAUCCCCAAGUUCUUUCUAGACACAUAUUUGUUACAAUCACACAAGAGAAAUGCUGCAUCACGUGAAGCAUGAAAGUACCAUACACCUAGUGGAGAGCGAACACAGGUGUCCUGGGUUCCAUUCCCGCCUACCACUACCACUGCAGGUUGGUAGGACAAGUCACUGCCUUUCUCUGCCUCAGUUUCUCUAUCGGUAAAAUGGGGGUAAUGGUGGCAACCUCCUUUGCAAAGAGCUUUGAGAGAUACUGAUCAAAAAUGUUAUAAAAGAGCAAUCUUCUAUUUUACUGUUGCACCUGCAGCAUACAAUUCUCUAUUGUCCUUUUUUAGCUCAAGAAAGAGAAGAGGAAGGACUGGAAGUAAUUUAUGCUGCAUGUGUUUGUCUGCCAGAAAAAAUGAUAAAAUGUUUAAUCAAAAUAGGAUUGUAGUCUUAUCUAUUGUUAUUUGCUAUUUGAACUAAGCUGUCAAAGGCCCAAUCAGGAGUUGCGGGGGUCCACUGUGGUAGGCACUGUACAAAGAGAGGAAAACAAGGUCCCUGCCCUUAAUGGUUUAUAACCUAAUUUGAAAAUAUGUUUUUAGAGUUUAAUCUUUGUUUUUAUUUUCAGAUACAAAGACAGAUUAGGGUACUUGUCUGUUAGUGUAUGGUCUUGCAUAUGGAGUUUAAAGCAGCUACGGUGGCCAGAAUUUACCAAUAUAAGAACAAAGAGUUGUUUGAUGUAUCAAAUAAAAUGACUGUUCCCUCGCCUGACAUUAGUUGCCUGCACCUCCCUACAAUGAAAUCUAAUAACUAUGUCUUGAUUUGAUAGGACACACAACAUGCCAUCUAGAUAUACACUGUUAAUCCCUACGGCAUCCAGGUUAUGAGAAUGAAAAUAUUUAUUUUCUGCUUUGUGCAUCUGUCAGAUCAUGCAAAACAAGGCUUUGAUUACAAAAUAAUUACAGCAGGCAACCAUAAAUAACAAUAUACGUGGAUUAAUUUGCUUCACAUACGCUAAGUCGGUGGUUCUCAACCAGGGGUAGUUUACAAGAGGUGAAAUCAGUACAAACUAAAAUUUCAUACAGACAAUGUCUUGUUUAUACUGCUUUAUUUAUGAUACACUGAAAUGUAAGUACAGUAUUUAUAUUCCAAUUGAUUUAUUUUAUAAUUUAUAUGGUAAACAUGAGAAAGUAAUUUGUCAGUAAUAGUGUGCUGUGACACUUUUGUAUCUUUAUGUCUGAUUUUGUAAGCAAGUAGUUUUAAAGUGAGGUGAAAGUUGGGGUUAUGCAAGACAAAUCAGACUCCUGAAAGGGGUACAGUAGUUUGGAAAGGUUGAGAGCUGAUGCACCAAGUUAUAUUUCUGUAGAAGAGAGAUUGGAGCAAACUUCACACAAAAGUCAUAGAGGAAGUUUAUACUUUUAGCAUUGUAAUAGCAUGAACUUCCAUACAAACAACUUCCCAGCUCCAGUAGUGCUAAAUUAUGCAAUACCAGCAAGUAAAUAUUUAAAAUCUGUUGAUAGAAAACAUAAUGUAAGUGUAUGUUACUUUUUUAUAUUAGCACGCAAGAACAAUAGUAAACCUGUGACAAAAACAAGAUUAAAAGUUAAGGGAGAUGCUCUAUACUUCACUGGCCUUACAUAGGCUGCAGAAGAGGCCAAUGCAAUUUUGGUUUCAGAUCUUCUCCCCGCCACUCCAAAGGAGAGCUGCUCCAGUCCCACUGCUCCAGCGUCAACAGCAGGGCCGGCUCCACCUUUUUUGCUGCCCCAAGCAGCAAAGGGAAAAAAAAACAAACAAAAAAACCCCCAAGCCUGGUUGAGCUGCCGCCGAAGAGGAAGAGGGGGACUGCAGGGCCCGCCGCCGAAGACCUGGACGUGCCACCCUGAUGACGGACGGAGUGCCACCCCUAUCUAUUAGCCACCCCAGGCACCUGCUUCCUUCGCUGGUGCCUGGAGCUGGCCCUGGUAAACACACCUUCUCCUAGUCUCUUUGGGACCAAAGACAGAGGCAGGGUAGGAGCUCAGAGUUCCGCUCUGUUUUUUCAUCACUUUAGUGGCAACUGAGAUCAGAUGGAACUGUAACCGCUGUACCUGCUCCAGAGAGGAAUCAUGAUCCCCUUGUCGGCCUCACAGGUUAGGAACCAUUGGUUUAGAAAGAAGCUUGCUUUGCACCACAACUUUCUUAGCAUGAUUUCUUUGAUAUUCAAAAUUAAUGAGCUGUCCCUGACUUAUUGUAUUGAUGGAGAAAGUUGAAAGGGAUAAAGAACACCCUUCACCAUCCAAACUUCUUGAUCUUCAGUGCUUGCGUGAGCCUAAUAAUUACUGCAAGGGACAGGGAGGCAGGAAGCCUAGGUUCCAUUCCCAGCUCUGUUACUGACUUGCUGAAUCACUUACCCUCCUUGUGCCUUAAUUUACCUAUCUUUAAAAGGAGCAAGAUAGAUCUGAGGGAUGUAAUAAAAACAUAAAAAUGAAAAGAUCCUUAUUAUCCAGUUUACUUUGCUCAUGUGUAGUCCAUUGACUUGAAUGGAACUAUUUGCAUGAGUUAGGUGACAAGAUUUGGCCCUUAAUGAAUUUAAAGGGUUUCACCUAGUUGCCAGUAGAUGGCUCUCUUAAUUUGCAAUGAAAUAUUUAUAUUUGCACUUUGGGUUAUGCUGGACAUAUUUUCAGUGGAAAGUGUGUUUUCUUUGAGGAACUUUAUGUAAGAAUAAUACAACAAGCAGUAAUAGCCGACAGAAUUGAAUGAAUAGGCUAAUAAAGACAAUAUCUAUUAUUAUUUAA